rnacentral:rRNA from 1 species
GAUGAACGCUAGCUACAGGCUUAACACAUGCAAGUCGAGGGGCAGCAUUUUAGUUUGCUUGCAAACUAAAGAUGGCGACCGGCGCACGGGUGAGUAACACGUAUCCAACCUGCCGAUAACUCGGGGAUAGCCUUUCGAAAGAAAGAUUAAUAUCCGAUGGUAUAUUUUCUCCGCAUGGUGAGAAUAUUAAAGAAUUUCGGUUAUCGAUGGGGAUGCGUUCCAUUAGUUUGUUGGCGGGGUAACGGCCCACCAAGACCACGAUGGAUAGGGGUUCUGAGAGGAAGGUCCCCCACAUUGGAACUGAGACACGGUCCAAACUCCUACGGGAGGCAGCAGUGAGGAAUAUUGGUCAAUGGACGAGAGUCUGAACCAGCCAAGUAGCGUGAAGGAUGACUGCCCUAUGGGUUGUAAACUUCUUUUAUAUGGGAAUAAAGUGUUCCACGUGUGGGAUUUUGUAUGUACCAUAUGAAUAAGGAUCGGCUAACUCCGUGCCAGCAGCCGCGGUAAUACGGAGGAUCCGAGCGUUAUCCGGAUUUAUUGGGUUUAAAGGGAGCGUAGGUGGAUUGUUAAGUCAGUUGUGAAAGUUUGCGGCUCAACCGUAAAAUUGCAGUUGAAACUGGCAGUCUUGAGUACAGUAGAGGUGGGCGGAAUUCGUGGUGUAGCCGGUGAAAUGCUUAGAUAUCACGAAGACUCCGAUUGCGAAGGCAGCUCACUAGACUGCAACUGACACUGAUGCUCGAAAG